GUGGGGAAUCUUCCGCAAUGGACGAAAGUCUGACGGAGCAACGCCGCGUGAGUGAUGAAGGUCUUCGGAUUGUAAAGCUCUGUUAAUCGGGACGAAAGAGCCUAGUGUGAAUAAUGCUAGGAAGUGACGGUACCGGAAUAGAAAGCCACGGCUAACUACGUGCCAGCAGCCGCGGUAAUACGUAGGUGGCAAGCGUUGUCCGGAAUUAUUGGGCGUAAAGCGCGCGCAGGCGGAUCUGCCAGUCUGUCUUAAAAGUUCGGGGCUUAACCCCGUGAUGGGAUGGAAACUACAGAUCUAGAGUAUCGGAGAGGAAAGUGGAAUUCCUAGUGUAGCGGUGAAAUGCGUAGAUAUUAGGAAGAACACCAGUGGCGAAGGCGACUUUCUGGACGAAAACUGACGCUGAGGCACGAAAGCCAGGGGAGCGAACGGGAUUAGAAACCCGUGUAGUCC
rnacentral:rRNA from 1 species